AACGAACGCUGGCGGCAUGCCUAACACAUGCAAGUCGAACGAGACCUUCGGGUCUAGUGGCGCACGGGUGCGUAACGCGUGGGAACCUGCCCUUAGGUUCGGAAUAACUCCCCGAAAGGGGUGCUAAUACCGGAUAAUGUCUUCGGACCAAAGAUUUAUCGCCUUUGGAUGGGCCCGCGUUGGAUUAGCUAGUUGGUAGGGUAAAAGCCUACCAAGGCGACGAUCCAUAGCUGGUCUGAGAGGAUGAUCAGCCACACUGGGACUGAGACACGGCCCAGACUCCUACGGGAGGCAGCAGUGGGGAAUAUUGGACAAUGGGCGAAAGCCUGAUCCAGCAAUGCCGCGUGAGUGAUGAAGACCUUAGGGUUGUAAAGCUCUUUUACCCGGGAUGAUAAUGACAGUACCGGGAGAAUAAGCUCCGGCUAACUCAGUG
rnacentral:rRNA from 1 species